rnacentral:lncRNA from 1 species
AUGUCCCAAAAGUCACCAAUAUGUCAGGAUAUUCUUUGGCCUCUGCUUUCAGUAUCUAUUCAGAGUCCAAAUACUUCUCAAGAUGUCCACUGCUACCACCAUUGUAUCUUCCCUAGAGUUUUCAAGAGCCUCUUUAAUUGGUGCCCUCAUUUGCCUCCCUGCCCCUUGCUCUUUUCCCUUCACAGAAGGCAAACUUGUAUGAAGGUGGCACAUCUGGACCAACGUGAUGCUUGGAAUACAAGCCUUACCAGCAAAAUCUACCUCAAGUGCAUGAGAAGAGAAGCCUUUCUUUGGCAGACUGCCAGGGUGCAGGUCUCGAGGAUACAGCUUUUUGUCAAGCACCCUUUGGUUCUCAGCAGCCUCGAUUUCACUACGCUGCUCAAGGCCCACAGGUGGUCACCAUGCAGGCAGGGUGAAUUAAAAGAUGGCGUGGAAGUCUGGCAGGCAUCUUGACAGAACUACUCUUGAAGAUGGGACCUACACAAGGGAAAAGGGAGUUCAGAAGUAGAAUGAGUAAAGGAGAAUUAUAUUAGUUGAGUGUCUGAAUCCACUGGUGUCUGAAGCAUAUUCUUUAUUAGACCCUCUGCUUGGGUAGGUGUUUUUUCACUUGUAACUACAGUUCUUACAAAAAUAUGUGUCUAUAUGAUAGGAAUAGUUCAUCCCUCUCUCAACUGUAUGUGACAAUGAUCCAAAAAAGGAUGGCAGGUUAGAGUGUACUAGAGCAUUCCACAUGGAGACACAAAAGUAGAAAGCCAUACAUUGUGGAGACCUUGCUCUCUAUGAGGCAUUAACUGUGUGAGAAUGUGUAUUGACAUGGGCUUUAUCACAUCUUUUUGUUAUUAUUUUAUAUUUGUUUACUCUUAGGCUUCAUUAAAAUGAGAAUUCCCUAUCUCUUUAUUCUUAAGGUUCAAUAUUGUAUCUGGGACAAAUUAGAUACAAAAUAAAUGUUACAACAAACAAUGAAUGAAUAUUCCUUAUUAAAAGUAUUGCCUAACAUGGUGCAAAAG